rnacentral:other from 17 species
AUUUAAAUAACUCAUUUUCAAGUGAGUUAUUUAAAUAUCUGUAAUCGAAAUACGUAUUGCUGUGUGUAGUCUUUGCCUGUCAUCUAAGACGGGCUUUUUUUUAC